rnacentral:rRNA from 1 species
AUUGAACGCUGGCGGCAUGCUUUACACAUGCAAGUCGAACGGUAACAGGCCGCAAGGUGCUGACGAGUGGCGAACGGGGGAGUAAUGCAUCGGAACGUGCCCAGUCGUGGGGGAUAACGCAGCGAAAGCUGCGCUAAUACCGCAUACGAUCUAUGGAUGAAAGCGGGGGACCGUAAGGCCUCGCGCGAUUGGAGCGGCCGAUGUCAGGUUAGGUAGUUGGUGGGGUAAAGGCUCACCAAGCCAACGAUCUGUAGCUGGUCUGAGAGGACGACCAGCCACACUGGGUCUGAGACACGGCCCAGACUCCUACGGGAGGCAGCAGUGGGGAAUUUUGGACAAUGGGCGCAAGCCUGAUCCAGCAAUGCCGCGUGCAGGAAGAAGGCCUUCGGGUUGUAAACUGCUUUUGUACGGAACGAAACGGUCCUGGUUAAUACCUGGGGCUAAUGACGGUACCGUGGAAUAAGCACCGGCUAACUACGUGCCAGCAGCCGCUGUAACAC